GCCGGCUUAGCUCAGUUGGUAGAGCAGUUGAUUUGUAAUCAUCAGGUCAGGGGUUCGAUUCCUCUAGCCGGCACCA
rnacentral:tRNA from 2 species